rnacentral:misc_RNA from 1 species
UUUGUUCAAUAUUUUCAAAUCCCGAUAGUUUUGAUUAAAUUCAAUCAAAUAAUCACGUAACGUAGUCUUUUAUUUUUCUUUUAUUAUAUAUGUGUUCUUUUUGAACACUGGUUUUCGUAUAAGAGUCAGUGCAUUUCUCAAGAGGAUGGGGCCUUUCCAGGAGCUCAAGACCGCUUUUCAGAACCUCUAUUUCCACCGUUGGAUUUUCAACGGUUCCUGUCUGAUGUUAGUCUUUCUGAUGAUAUUCACUGGGGUAGCGUAGCAUCCAUGGUAACGUCCUCUGGUUCUCCGCUUCGAACGUUUCAGCGGGCAUUGCGCCCGAAGAAAAAAGAGACUAUAAGCCGAAGAGUCCCGGCAAAAUGUCAUAGAAGAGGGCAACCACCAAUGACUCCCCAUCCUCUGUAUCACCCAGAGUAUGAAAAGUCAUUCUUGUUACUACUUUGUCACUAUGCUCGCUUUUAGUAUUUGCAGUAGUAGUAGUAGUAGUUUUUUUGGCCGAUGUGUAUAUUGUCUCAUCAUCCCACUAGGCAAAUCGCGGUUUUUUUAUUAAUGUCGCGAGAGGAUGACUACGGUUUGAAUUAGAGUUGCGAUAAAAUGAUAAUCGUGUUUGCCUUAGAAUUGCGAAUUAUGAUAUCGCGAUUAUCUUUUGCAAUUUUUAUAAUGAAUUUUUAGAACUUCUUAGAGAAUUAUAUGUAUCAGAAUUUAUCCAGCUUUAUAUUGUUUAAAAUUAGAUUGUAAAAAUUUUAGUUCUUAAUUAAUUAUAUAGUAUUAUAAGUUGGCAUAUCAGAAUAUCUGAAGUAGCUUUUUUAUAUAAUAAAUAGUAAUUUCCAUUGAAUUCAGUUUAAGAGUUAGCAUUGGGAUAAUGAGUGAUCGCGUUUUGUGAAGUAGAGUUGCAUUUACAAAAUGCCCAAAAUCCUCCGACUGUAUUUGUCGGACACUGUUCCUGGGUCGCUAGAUAUAGCUAGAAGAGCUGUAUAAAUGUGAUCGUUCAUCAGCAAUCUUUUAAAUGGCUGCACUGGGAUCUCUCGCCAUUAGUGUUGCGUACUGAUUCAAUACGAGUGUGUAGAUUAAUAUUUGUUAGCGUUACGUAUCAAAUAUCGGGAGUUUUCAGACAUUUUUCUAUUUUUUUUUCUAUUUUUUUCUCUUUUUGGAAAUGAUAGAUUAAUUGAUACUGCAGAUAUAAUGGAGCACUCUUCGCGCUUGAUUUUGAGAAUUUUCUGUUUCACAGAUAUUAGUAAUAAAUUAGCGUUGUGAAACAAGAAGAAUAUCACGUUUCACUCACUUUGUUGAUCGGAUUUAU